UUAGAUCGUACCCAAGUUACUUGGAUAACUGUGGUAAUUCUAGAGCUAAUACAUGCCGACAGAGUUCCGACCGUCGCGGCUCCUCCGGGCGUCGCGCGCGGGAGGAACGCUUUUAUUAGAUCAAAACCGGCCCGUCGCGGCGCGCCUCGCGCGCGUCCCGAUCGCGGCCCGCGCAAAGACCUGGUGACUCUGAAUAACUUCGAGCUGAUCGCACGGUCUCCGUACCGGCGACGCAUCUUUCAAAUGUCUGCCUUAUCAACUGUCGACGGUAGGUUCCAUGCCUACCGUGGUGGUAACGGGUAACGGGGAAUCAGGGUUCGAUUCCGGAGAGGGAGCCUGAGAAACGGCUACCACAUCCAAGGAAGGCAGCAGGCGCGCAAAUUACCCACUCCCGGAACGGGGAGGUAGUGACGAAAAAUAACGAUACGGGACUCAUCCGAGGCCCCGUAAUCGGAAUGAGGACACUUUAAAACCUUUAAACGAGGAUCAAUUGGAGGGCAAGUCUGGUGCCAGCAGCCGCGGUAAUUCCAGCUCCA
rnacentral:rRNA from 1 species